rnacentral:tRNA from 2 species
GCGCGUGUAGUGUAGUGGUUAUCACCCGGCGUUGCCAACGCCGGAACCCGAGUUCAACUCUCGGCGCGCGCACCA